GACGUAGGGCGCGAGCGUUGUCCGGAUUUAUUGGGCGUAAAGAGCUCGUAGGCGGCUUGUCGCGUCGACUGUGAAAUCCCGCGGCUCAACUGCGGGUCUGCAGUCGAUACGGGCAGGCUAGAGUUCGGUAGGGGAGACUGGAAUUCCUGGUGGUAGCGGUGAAAUGCGCAGAUAUCAAGGAGGAACACCGGUGGCGAAGGCGGGUCUCUGGGCCGUAACUGACCGCUGAGGAGCGAAAGCGUGGGGAGCGAACAGGA
rnacentral:rRNA from 1 species